GGAAACUGUGAUGGCCUGAAGCAGGGGUGAGCAGGCAGGGAAAAUCCUACCAGGAGCGAGGUAGGGAGGGACUCUUUGAGGAUGUGAUUUUCAAGCGGGAGAAUGAAGUGCAGUAACUCUUUUCCAAAGGGAACGCAUCUGUUUAGUUUCCCUGGAUUUGUCCUUGCAAAGCCAGCCUCUAAGAUGUCCCUGCAAAUUCCCACCUCCUGCCAUUCCUGCCCUUCUGUGUUGCCCUCUCUCAAUGAACCAGGGCUGAUCUGUGAGACCAAGAGUCUCACCAUUAUGUAGAGAAAGCCCACCACCAUGUCAUGAGGACACUCAAGCAGUCCUGUGGAGGGAUCCACCUGGGAAGGAAAUAAAGCCUCCUGCCAAUGGCCAGCACCACGUUCCAGCUGUGUGAGCGAGUCACCUUGGAAGCAGGUCCUCCAACCCACAGAGCCUUUGGAUGACUGCAGCCCCAACCAACAGGUCAGAAGACUGCAACCCAAUGAGAGUCCUGGGCCAGGACCACCAAGCCUCUCCCAAAUUCCUGACCCACUAAUAUUGUGAGAGAACAUGGUGUUUUAUUUUAUUAUGUUUAUUAUUGUUUAUUAUUAUUGUAGGCCACCAAAGUUUGAGGUAUUUGUUAGGUGAAAAUAAAUAUCUGAUACCAUCUCCUUCUUUUGAACUCAUUGGCCUUUUCAAUAAAUGUUUGUUU
rnacentral:lncRNA from 1 species